UGGAGACUGAGUAGGAGUGCUGGUGCAUGC
rnacentral:piRNA from 1 species